AGUGAACGCUGGCGGUAGGCCUAACACAUGCAAGUCGAACGGCAGCACAGUAAGAGCUUGCUCUUACGGGUGGCGAGUGGCGGACGGGUGAGGAAUACAUCGGAAUCUACUUUUUCGUGGGGGAUAACGUAGGGAAACUUCCGCUACUACCGCAAACGCCUUAGGGGGGAAAGCAGGGGUUCUUGGACCAUUUGCGGUUGUAAUAGCCCGAGUCGGGUUUUGUUAGUUGGCGGGGUAAAGGCCCACCAAGGGAACGGUCCGUAACUGGUCUGAGAGGAUGAUCAGCCACACUGGAACUGAGACACGGUCCAGACUCCUACGGGAGGCAGCAGUGGGGAAUAUUGGACAAUGGGCGCAAGCCUGAUCCAGCCAUACCGCGUGGGUGAAGAAGGCCUUCGGGUUGUAAAGCCCUUUUGUUGGGAAAGAAAAGCAGCAGGUUAAUACCCCGCUGUUCUGACGGUACCCAAAGAAUAAGCACCGGCUAACUUCGUG
rnacentral:rRNA from 1 species